rnacentral:rRNA from 1 species
AGCGCAGCCCUACCAUGCAAGUUCGAGCGGUAGAAGAGGUGCUUGCACCUCUUGAGAGCGGCGGACGGGUGAGUAAUGCCUAGGAAUCUGCCUGGUAGUGGGGGAUAACGCUCGGAAACGGACGCUAAUACCGCAUACGUCCUACGGGAGAAAGCAGGGGACCUUCGGGCCUUGCGCUAUCAGAUGAGCCUAGGUCGGAUUAGCUAGUUGGUGAGGUAAUGGCUCACCAAGGCGACGAUCCGUAACUGGUCUGAGAGGAUGAUCAGUCACACUGGAACUGAGACACGGUCCAGACUCCUACGGGAGGCAGCAGUGGGGAAUAUUGGACAAUGGGCGAAAGCCUGAUCCAGCCAUGCCGCGUGUGUGAAGAAGGUCUUCGGAUUGUAAAGCACUUUAAGCUGGGAGGAAGGGCAGUUACCUAAUACGUAAUUGUCUUGACGUUACCGACAGAAUAAGCACCGGCUAACUCUGUGCCAGCAGCCGCGGUAAUACAGAGGGUGCAAGCGUUAAUCGGAAUUACUGGGCGUAAAGCGCGCGUAGGUGGUUCGUUAAGUUGGAUGUGAAAUCCCCGGGCUCAACCUGGGAACUGCAUUCAAAACUGACGAGCUAGAGUAUGGUAGAGGGUGGUGGAAUUUCCUGUGUAGCGGUGAAAUGCGUAGAUAUAGGAAGGAACACCAGUGGCGAAGGCGACCACCUGGACUGAUACUGACACUGAGGUGCGAAAGCGUGGGGAGCAAACAGGAUUAGAUACCCUGGUAGUCCACGCCGUAAACGAUGUCAACUAGUCGUUGGGAGCCUUGAGCUCUUAGUGGCGCAGCUAACGCAUUAAGUUGGACCGCCUGGGGGAGUACA